CUGUGUAUCUCGAUGUGUCAAUGUGUUUUCUUUAAAGAAAGCUGAUAUUGAUCAAUCUACACAAAAAUGUACAGAAAACUGCUAUUUGUGAUGGUACUGUGUAAUGCAGCUGGGUUUAACAUUCAGAUAUCUCCAGUGAAACAUUUCACAAAUGAGGAUCCACUCUUUGACCAAACCAUCAUUCAGGCAAAAGAUGGAAUUUUUGUUCCCUCCCCAACAUAUGGAAGACUUUUCAAGUGCACUCUAGACAAUGAAUGCAAAGUAAACA